rnacentral:rRNA from 1 species
UUCCAGACUCCUACGGGAGGCAGCAGUGGGGGAUAUUGCACAAUGGGGGAAACCCUGAUGCAGCGACGCCGCGUGGGUGAAGAAGCGCCUCGGCGCGUAAAGCCCUGUCAGCAGGGAAGAAAAUGACGGUACCUGACUAAGAAGCCCCGGCUAACUACGUGCCAGCAGCCGCGGUAAUACGUAGGGGGCAAGCGUUAUCCGGAUUUACUGGGUGUAAAGGGGGCGUAGACGGCAUGGCAAGUCAGAUGUGAAAGCCCGGGGCUCAACCCCGGGACUGCAUUUGAAACUGUCAGGCUGGAGUGCAGGAGAGGUAAGUGGAAUUCCUAGUGUAGCGGUGAAAUGCGUAGAUAUUAGGAGGAACACCAGUGGCGAAGGCGGCUUACUGGACUGUAACUGACGUUGAGGCUCGAAAGCGUGGGGAGCAAACAGGAUUAGAUACCCUGGUAC